GAUGAAACAUGCUGGGAAUUCUAAUAAAAAUGAGCCACAAAACUCAAUAGCACAGAGCCACACUUUGUGCUGUGUCUGACCCUUCUACUGUAGGCCUAAGCAUGGAAGAGAUGGCACCAUGGUAAUAGGUCACAC
rnacentral:lncRNA from 1 species